rnacentral:rRNA from 1 species
AACGAACGCUGGCGGCAUGCCUAACACAUGCAAGUCGAACGAGACCUCCGGGUCUAGUGGCGCACGGGUGCGUAACGCGUGGGAACCUGCCCUUAGGUUCGGAAUACCUCCCCGAAAGGGGUGCUAAUACCGGAUAAUGUCUUCGGACCAAAGAUUUAUCGCCUUUGGAUGGGCCCGCGUUGGAUUAGCUAGUUGGUAGGGUAAAAGCCUACCAAGGCGUCGAUGCAUAGCUGGUCUGAGAGGAUGAUCAGCCACACUGGGACUGAGACACGGCCCAGACUCCUACGGAAGGGAGCAGUGGGGAAUAUUGGACAAUGGGCGAAGGCCUGAUCCAGCAAUGCCGGGUGAGUGAUGAAGGCCGUAGGGUUGUAAAGCUCUUUUACCCGGGAUGAUAAUGACAGUACCGGGAGAAUAAGCACCGGCUAACUCCGUG